AGAGUUUGAUCCUGGCUCAGAUUGAACGCUGGCGGCAUGCCUUACACAUGCAAGUCGAACGGCAGCACGGAGCUUGCCCUGGUGGCGAGUGGCGAACGGGUGAGUAAUAUAUCGGAACGUACCCUAGAGUGGGGGAUAACGUAGCGAAAGUUACGCUAAUACCGCAUACGAUCUAAGGAUGAAAGUGGGGGAUCGCAAGACCUCAUGCUCGUGGAGCGGCCGAUAUCUGAUUAGCUAGUUGGUAGGGUAAAAGCCUACCAAGGCAUCGAUCAGUAGCUGGUCUGAGAGGACGACCAGCCACACUGGAACUGAGACACGGUCCAGACUCCUACGGGAGGCAGCAGUGGGGAAUUUUGGACAAUGGGCGAAAGCCUGAUCCAGCAAUGCCGCGUGAGUGAAGAAGGCCUUCGGGUUGUAAAGCUCUUUUGUCAGGGAAGAAACGGUGAGAGCUAAUAUCUUUUGCUAAUGACGGUACCUGAAGAAUAAGCACCGGCUAACUACGUGCCAGCAGCCGCGGUAAUACGUAGGGUGCAAGCGUUAAUCGGAAUUACUGGGCGUAAAGCGUGCGCAGGCGGUUUUGUAAGUCUGAUGUGAAAUCCCCGGGCUCAACCUGGGAAUUGCAUUGGAGACUGCAAGGCUAGAAUCUGGCAGAGGGGGGUAGAAUUCCACGUGUAGCAGUGAAAUGCGUAGAUAUGUGGAGGAAUACCGAUGGCGAAGGCAGCCCCCUGGGUCAAGAUUGACGCUCAUGCACGAAAGCGUGGGGAGCAAACAGGAUUAGAUACCCUGGUAGUCCACGUCCUAAACGAUGUCUACUAGUUGUCGGGUCUUAAUUGACUUGGUAACGCAGCUAACGCGUGAAGUAGACCGCCUGGGGAGUACGGUCGCAAGAUUAAAACUCAAGGGAAUUGACGGGGACCCGCACAAGCGGUGGAUGAUGUGGAUUAAUUCGAUGCAACGCGAAAAACCUUACCUACCCUUGACAUGGCUGGAAUCCUUGAGAGAUCAGGGAGUGCUCGAAAGAGAGCCAGUACACAGGUGCUGCAUGGCUGUCGUCAGCUCGUGUCGUGAGAUGUUGGGUUAAGUCCCGCAACGAGCGCAACCCUUGUCAUUAGUUGCUACGAAAGGGCACUCUAAUGAGACUGCCGGUGACAAACCGGAGGAAGGUGGGGAUGACGUCAAGUCCUCAUGGCCCUUAUGGGUAGGGCUUCACACGUCAUACAAUGGUACAUACAGAGCGCCGCCAACCCGCGAGGGGGAGCUAAUCGCAGAAAGUGUAUCGUAGUCCGGAUUGUAGUCUGCAACUCGACUGCAUGAAGUUGGAAUCGCUAGUAAUCGCGGAUCAGCAUGUCGCGGUGAAUACGUUCCCGGGUCUUGUACUCACCGCCCGUC
rnacentral:rRNA from 1 species